GCCUCCUUAGCUCAGUGGAUAGAGCAGCAGCCUUCUAAUCUGUUGGUCGCAGGUUCGAAUCCUGCAGGGGGCACCA
rnacentral:tRNA from 1 species